CAGGGAAUCUUCGGCAAUGGGGGCAACCCUGACCGAGCAACGCCGCGUGAGUGAAGAAGGUUUUCGGAUCGUAAAGCUCUGUUGUAAGUCAAGAACGAGUGUGAGAGUGGAAAGUUCACACUGUGACGGUAGCUUACCAGAAAGGGACGGCUAACUACGUGCCAGCAGCCGCGGUAAUACGUAGGUCCCGAGCGUUGUCCGGAUUUAUUGGGCGUAAAGCGAGCGCAGGCGGUUUGAUAAGUCUGAAGUUAAAGGCUGUGGCUCAACCAUAGUUCGCUUUGGAAACUGUCAAACUUGAGUGCAGAAGGGGAGAGUGGAAUUCCAUGUGUAGCGGUGAAAUGCGUAGAUAUAUGGAGGAACACCGGUGGCGAAAGCGGCUCUCCGGUCUGUAACUGACGCUGAGGCUCGAAAGCGUGGGGAGCGAACAGGAUUAGAUACCCUGGUAGUCCACGCCGUAAACGAUGAGUGCUAGGUGUUGGAUCCUUUCCGGGAUUCAGUGCCGCAGCUAACGCAUUAAGCACUCCGCCUGGGGAGUACGACCGCAAGGUUG
rnacentral:rRNA from 1 species